rnacentral:rRNA from 1 species
UACAGAGGUCCCAAGCGUUGUUCGGAUUCAUUGGGCGUAAAGGGUGCGUAGGCGGCGCGGUAAGUCGGGUGUGAAAUCUCGGGGCUUAACUCCGAAACUGCAUUCGAUACUGCCGUGCUUGAGGACUGGAGAGGAGACUGGAAUUUACGGUGUAGCGGUGAAAUGCGUAGAUAUCGUAAGGAAGACCAGUGGCGAAGGCGGGUCUCUGGGCCUUACCUGACGCUGAGGAGCGAAAGCGUGGGGAGCGAACAGG